rnacentral:rRNA from 1 species
UAGGGAAUUUUCGGCAAUGGGCGAAAGCCUGACCGAGCAAUGCCGCGUGAAUGAAGAAGGUCUUCGGAUCGUAAAAUUCUGUUAUCAGGGAAGAAUAAACUAAAGAGUGGAAAGCUUUAGUGAUGACGGUACCUGAUGAGAAAGCCCCGGCUAACUAUGUGCCAGCAGCCGCGGUAAUACAUAGGGGGCGAGCGUUAUCCGGAAUUAUUGGGCGUAAAGAGUGCGUAGGCGGCUCAUUAAGUCAGUUGUGAAAUCCCAGGGCUUAACCCUGGAGGGUCAACUGAAACUAACGAGCUUGAAUCAAGUAGAGGUAAGUGGAAUUCCAUGUGUAGCGGUAAAAUGCGUAGAUAUAUGGAGGAACACCAGUGGCGAAGGCGGCUUACUGGGCUUGCAUUGACGCUGAGGCACGAAAGCGUGGGGAGCAAACA